rnacentral:lncRNA from 10 species
AGUAGAUAUUUUAGGCUUUGCAGACUGCACAGUGUUUACUGCAGCUACUCAGCAUUGCUGCUGCAGCACGGAAGCAGCCAUAGAGGACAUAUAAAUGAAGGAGCAUGGCUGUAUUCCAAUAAAACUUUAUUUACAAAGCCGGAAACCCACCCAUAGGCCAUAGGUUUGCUGACCUUGGAUCCAGAACACUGGAGAGGAACCAGCAAUGGGGACUGAAGCAGGAGCAGCCUGGAGAUUGGGGUGGACCAGGAGAGGAGGUUGCUUCAGAAACUAAGCAAAGCAUUUUUGCAGAAGAAAGUAGUGAUCUGCUGGGUCAAAUCCUGCUGGCAUAAGAAGUAAGAUGAGGACUGAAAAUUGCACGUGAGCAGUGUAGAGGCCGUGGAUGAGCUGAUGAAAGCACUUUGGUUGAGGAUGAGCCUGAUGAAGUCCUCCGAUAUUGAUCAGGAUUUAUUCACAGACAGUUACUGCAAGGUGUGCAGUGCACAGCUGAUCUCCGAAUCGCAGCGUGUGGCCCACUACGAGUGUGGUGCAGUUCCUCUGGGAAUGAGCAAUGUAACUUAAAACUAGCUGU